rnacentral:lncRNA from 10 species
GCCGGGUGUUGUGGCACGUGCCUGGAAUCCCAGCUACUUGGGAGACUGAGGCAUGAGAAUCCCUUGAACCCGGGAGGCAGAGGUUGCAAUGAGCUCACUGCACUCCAGCCUGGGCGACAGAGCAAGACUCUGUCUCAAAAAAAAAAAAGAAAAGAAAAGAAAAAAAGAGAAAAUGAAGAGUUCCUUUUCUCAACACUCUCAUCAAUACAUGCAUGCACACACACUCUUGCAUGCAGCCAUGAAUUCUCAUGUGUGCAUACACACAUUCAAAGGACUAGAUAAAGAUUCUCCAGACUUUGCAAUAGGGAAGUCAGGUGGAAGCAGGGAGCUAGAAUGGAUAAUGUAUGAAGAAACUAUUAAUGUGUUUUUUCCUUUUAUACUCUUUUGCCUUCAGCAAGUAAAUGACCUCUUUCUUAUUUGGUUGUGGCAUCAAACUGCUUGUGAGGAGAUUAAGAUUGUUUCAGAAGAAAUAUAAAGAGAAGGAAAUGGUAAUAUGCAUCUAUUGAAAUUCAAAAUAGGAUUUUGCAGCAAGACAAUGGACUUGAAAACUGGACUAUGAGAAAGAAAUUGUUUUCUGCAUUCAUUUAGCUCCCAUUUAACAUAAUCAAGAGCCAGAUCUAGAAUCAAGUUUCUACCAAAGGAGGAGGUAAUUUAAUCUCUCAUCUUUGAUUUCCUAUAUGUCCAUAAUGAGGAUAAUAACAGCUACCUCAACAGAUUGUUUCCAAAGGGAACCCUUGUCUUUUGAAGUGGCAAUUAGAGCUAGGAAGCCAAAGAUAAGAUAUGAAAAGAAUAAAAGAGAAGCCUACCACUUCUCAUCUUGGAGUUUCAACAAGACGAAGGCAGGGAGGUGAGAGUCAAGGAGAUGCCUUGGAAUUGGGGGAAUGGCUUCAGAAACAUCCAGAAAACAGAAGAGAUCACUGAAGCUGCUACAAAAUUUUGCCCAUUGUAGAUAAGUGGGCAAAUCAGGAUGCACUGGCAGGGAGACAGGGUCUGUUUUGUGUUACCAGCCCUUUUCCAGUGAUGGGUAUUGAAUUGAGAGCCAUGGGCCUGCCAUGGGGCAUGGGGGGUAGGAAGAGGGUGACCUGGCAGCAGAGGCAUGUGGUUUGCAUAACUUGGUUAGGAGCUGAAUGGGAGACAUGGUAGAGAUUCAGGGGUCCCACUGGGCUACCGAGAGCCACAGGGAGGUUGAGUCAGCCAGAAAGCACCAGUGAGAUCAGAUCCAGCCAAGAGAUCCACGAGAAACUCUAAAUGUUGACUUUAGCCAAAGGCCCCCAGGAUGAAUGUGACCAAGUACAUACUGACUCAUAAACCGGAGGAGCUGGAGGACACUCUGAGAACCCAAGGACCCUUGCUGUCCUCCUAUACCUGUCCCCAGGAGAUUGCUUAAGCCACUCUAUUUAUUUUCAUGCUCAUGGGUUUGUGAGUUGUCUGUGGUUUGUCUAAUCAGGCUGGGCUUGACAGGGCUUGGUAGGACUCCUUUAGUCCUGGUCCAGUGUCUAUUCUGGGUCACAGCUGAAGGGGCAAUGGAUAUCUGGAAUUUGCCUUUCUCUUGUCAGAUCACAGGAGUGCAAGAGGCCAAGCCAAACUACAAAAGCACAUUGAAAGCAUCUGCUUGCAUCGUGUCCUCUGACAUUCUGUUGGCACAAGCAAGUCACACAGCAAAGGGGAUGGAUGUACACUUAAAUAAUAAGGAGGAAGCAAAGGAUUGGGAAUAACAGUCCAAACCACCACAGGGCCCUACCUACCCCCAAGAAGUAAUAUCCUCAGAUUGAUCUGGGAAAUCCAAGAGCAGAUGAUGUUUCCCAUGUGCCAAGAAUAUCAGUGGAGUAUCACACAGAGGGCCCCAAAAGCCAGCACGCCAAGGAUGAUGGAGCAGGAUGAAGAGACCCUGGGUCUUAGAUAAUAUCGUUAGGGGGCUUACUGGCUGCUGACCUCCGGACAUUUUUGAAAUAUGAAACAAUUAAAUGUCUUUAUUAACUGACAUUAUUAGCUGAGUUUUCUGUUGCUUUCAUCUGAAUGCAUCCUCACUGUUGCAGGACUCUAUUUUUAUUUUUAUUUAUUUAUUUAUUUUUGAGAUGGAG